AGUUAUUCUUCUUCGAAUCUUCUUCAGUUCGGUGAUUCAUCUCGGGAUUGCGAUUUCGAAGUUUGAUUUUGAGCACAACUCCGUGAUUUAUGUCUUCGAUCAGAGGUUAGUUGUUCUGUUUGUGAUUUAUCCCUGUUUUCGAUCAAUGUUUUGCUUAGUGAAUACUUUUGUUUAGGGCUCUAUAUAGGUCUUAAGCCCUUAGGGCUCUCAAUUCUUCUUCACUCUCUUGGUGAUUCUUUUUCGAUUCUUCUACAAGUCGGUGAUUCAUCUCAGGAUUGUGAUUUCGAAGUUCGAUUUUGAGCACAGCUCCAUGAUUCAUCUCCGUGGAUUUGGAAUUCUUCGUCUUCUUCGAUCAGAGGUUUGUUUUUCUUUUUGAUCUAUACAAAUUGCAUAUAUAUAUAUAUAUAUAUAUGUAUAUAUGUGUAUGUAUGUAUAUGAUUGUGUUUAUGAAGUUUAAUUUGAUUGUUGAUUGUUUGUUAUUUGAGCUUCAAAUCUGUGAUUCUGUCUGUUUAGUUACUGAAAAACAGUUUGCUGGAAUAAUUUUUCUAGAAUAAAUCACUUUAAUUAUUCGUUUUUGAUCUGUUCUGUUUCUCUGUGAUUAUUUUGAUCGAUUCAAUUCCUUAUUUUGUUUGUUUGUUUGUUAGUUUUUCUAUUUCAUUUUUUUUUUUUUUAAAAUGCUUGAUUUUGUCUUUUUAAGGUUAAUAUUAAUCUCUAUGUUUGUGUGUGUUGUGUUGACCUGUAUGGUUUUAUCAUGAAUAUUUGUGGUACAUGGCAUUCAUGGAGUUCUAUUUUUCUUUUUCCUUCUCUGUUCAUUGUUUGAACUAAAAGCUUUAACCCUCAUGUUGUUUCUCUGUUGAUCUAAAUAUUGACAACAUUAAAGCGAUAUUUGGACACACUAAUAACAUGUAAGAUUCAACUUCUAAAAUCAUCCCAGGAUACGGUAGAAUUAGCAUGGAGAAUCAAGAAAGCUGGUGUUUCUGCUCUAGCUCAUUUGGAUGAUUAAUGGUUUGGGAUAUUUCUAAACUCUAGCAUAGCACUGAAUAUUUUAUUUAUUUAUUUUUGGAGUACUGAAAUUUGGUUGAUUAAUCGAGAAAACUUGUUUUCACACUUGUAGCAGUAACCCAAUUUCCAAAAAUCUAGAAAAAACAUUUCAUUUCAAAUUUUGUGGAAAAGGUCUCAAAAUAAAUAAAUAAAUAAAUAAAGAUGAAAAAACAUAGGUAAAUUGAAGCUUUCUUUGUAUCAUGUUUUGUGUUUUUCAGGUUAUGCAGAGGAGGUGAAUUAUUGGAUAGAAUACUUUCUAGAGGUGGAAAAUACUCGGAAGAAGAUGCAAUGGCUGUCGUGGUACAGAUUUUGAGUGUGGUUGCCUACUGUCAUCUCCAAGGUGUAGUUCACCGUGACCUCAAGCCUGAGAGCUAAUGCUUUUUGGACUUGUGUCAUUGGUAAUGGGUCAUUGGAUCAAUCAAGUGAAAGCGUUGUUACAUAAUUUUCCCUCUUGUUGGCUGCAGCCGGGAAUGGUAACAACUGAUCUUCUGUUGUCUGGAGCUUCUACAAAGCAGGUAGAAUGUGUAUUGCAUAUUUCCUUGAUUUCUUUUGUGAAGCUUUUGGAUCAAUCAAGUGA